UACAGAGGAGCCAAGCGUUGUCCGGAUUGACUGGGCGUAAAGCGCACGCAGGCGGUGGUGCGCGUGGGGUGUGAAAUCUGGCCGCUUAACGGCCAGGCGCCAUCUCAUACGGCACGACUGGAGGGCUGCAGAGGUCGAUGGAAUUGCCGGUGUAGUGGUGAAAUGCGUAGAGAUCGGCAGGAACACCCAGGGGGGAAACCAGUCG
rnacentral:rRNA from 1 species